UGGGUUGGCCAAAAAGUUCGUUCGGGUUUUUCCAUAACAUCUUACGGAAAUUUUUGGCCAACGCA
rnacentral:miRNA from 1 species